AAAAAAAUUUUAUAGUUUUAUUAUUUUAUUUAAAAUAUAAUUUACAUACAAAUUUUAGUGUUAAAUUUUAUUUAUUUUAAUAAUAAAUAAUAUUAUAAUGUAGUAAUUAACUUUAAAUUAUUUAAGAAAUUAAGAU
rnacentral:rRNA from 1 species